GAGCCGCCCCCCGGCCGGAUGCGGAGCACCUGUGUCGGCCCCGCCCGGGCCCUCGCCUCCGCCCCCUCGAGCCCCGCCCCUCCUAGCAGGCCGAGCCGAGGAGGGCUCCGCCGCCCACCCGGAACCCUGCGGGGACCGCCGCCGCUGCUGGCCACAGCUGCCUCCUGGGGGGCCAGAGACCUAAGCCUGAGCGCGCUAUCACCUAAGUGACCCUAGCCGACUCACUGUCUGCCCUGGGCCUCAGUUUCCCUCUUAACGAAAGAGGGCACGAUUUACAAGCCCCUGCGAGCGGCGGCGAUCGCUUCGUCAGUACAGCCUCGUGUCCGCGCUCUUUCUCUUCCAGUGAUCUCUGCAGGGCGAGAGCCAGCCCUGCAUCCUUGGUCGGAACCGUAGCCCCCGGGCUGCAGGAGGCGCACUCACUUUAGACCCACUGCUCCGUGCGCUGCAGAGGGGGCCGCGAGUCAGGACAUUCCAGAAAGUUCCAAAGACAUCACUGGUCCUCUUUAGACCGGAGUUCUCCGGGAAAACCGCUUCCGGCGCUCCCGACACACCGAGAUAGAAAGUUUCACAGAAAUAGGGCGAGGGCUCCAGGGCAGGCGUCCUGGGGCACCUGGAGCAGGGGCGGACCGGAAACCUCAGGCAAACGCAGAGGUGGAGAUGGCAUUCCAGGCGGGAGACCAAGCAAAGGCAGAGAGGGAGGACGGCACCGAGCGGCUCCCUCUGACCAGGACUGAGGAUGAUGCGACCUGAUACCGCGGGAGGGAAGCCUGGGCCCGCUGAGCAAGGUAAGAAUCUGAAACCCAGAAUAGUGCCCAAGGGAGCAGGUGUCUGGAGGCCCCUUUCAUUUUUCAAAACUGUCAACCAUAAGAAAAUGAAGGCAUCUUUCAAGAGACUUGGAACAGAAACUUCUGCUGCCUAAAAUCUCUCUCCUUAAACUUUCUGUUGCAGAUGAGACUGAAGCUCAAAGAAGUUAAGUAACUUGCCAAAAGGGGCGUGAGCCACCACCCGGCCAAAAGACUCCCAGCUAAAAGUGUGAGAGCAAGGACUCAAACCAAGGCAGUCUUCUGGUUUCAGAGCCUGAAGUCUUAACCAGGUGAGAAUAAAACUUCCAGCGUGCUUA